GAAGCACACCAGACUUCUUGCCAGAGACUAUGAAAGCCAGAAGAUGCUGGCAAAUGUUAUAAAGACCCUAAGAGAACACAAAUGCCAGCCCAGGUUACUGUAUCCUACAAAACUUUCAAUUAACAUAGAUGGAGAAACAAAGAUAUACCAUACCAAAACCAAACUUACACAAUAUCUUUCUACAAAUCCAGUGCUACAAAGGAUAAAUGGUAAAGCCCAACAUAAGGAGGCAAGCUACACCCUAGAAAAAG
rnacentral:lncRNA from 1 species